rnacentral:rRNA from 1 species
UACAGAGGUCUCAAGCGUUGUUCGGAUUCAUUGGGCGUAAAGGGUGCGUAGGUGGCGUGGUAAGUCGGGUGUGAAAUUUCGGAGCUUAACUCCGAAACUGCAUUCGAUACUGCCGUGCUUGAGGACUGGAGAGGAGACUGGAAUUUACGGUGUAGCAGUGAAAUGCGUAGAGAUCGUAAGGAAGACCAGUGGCGAAGGCGGGUCUCUGGACAGUUACUGACACUGAGGCACGAAGGCCAGGGGAGCAAACGGG